rnacentral:lncRNA from 1 species
GAUGGAGGUAAGAAAUGACAUUGAUGUCUAUUUGUAGUCUCUUAUUGUCAAGCUGAAACAGUUGUGGAUUUAGGAUGUUCCAACUUUUGAUGCUUUGAUGAAUGAGUUAUUUUCUAUGCAUGCGGCGCUUAUGUGAACAAUAAACGACUUUCCAGCUUAUGCCCUAAUGUCAGGUUGGAGCACGAAAGGUGAGCUAGCGUGCCUAGUUUGUGAAAGACAC